CACGUAGGGGCCAAGCGUUGUCCGGAUUCAUUGGGCGUAAAGAGCUCGUAGGCGGUUCAGUUAGUCGGGUGUGAAAUCUCCGGGCUCAACCCGGAGGGGCCACCCGAUACUGCUGUGACUCGAGUCCGGUGAGGGGAGUGGGGAAUUCCUGGUGUAGCGGUGAAAUGCGCAGAUAUCCGGAGGAACACCGGUGGCGAAGGCGGCUUCCUGGACCAUUACUGACACUGAAUAGCGAAAGCCAGGGGAGCAAACGGG
rnacentral:rRNA from 1 species